rnacentral:rRNA from 1 species
CCACAGCCACGCACUCCUCCCUCCUCCCUCUCACAGCCGCCACACCCCCUUCCUCUCUUCCUCCUCCCUCGUCCUUCCCGGAUCCCUGCCAUCCAGGCAGCAAGCCUGGUAAGCUAUCUCAAAAAACAACAACCAGCAAGAUAAUUGGUUAAUAGGGGGGAUCCCUGCCACCGCCACACCCACUCGUCUCCUCUCUCUUCUAGCUAACUCCUCCUUCCUGAUAUCUGUGUUUUCCGCAACCCGAGAGAAGCAACGGCGGCGGAGAUGCUCCGAUGGCGGCGGCGAGUUGCGAAGCGGCUGCGCUCGGGCGCGAGACAACAGAAGCGGGAGCGGCUACUCCGGGCCACGAUCUGCGGGUUCGAUUCCAGGGCGCCGACGACUUUGCCGUCUACGAUGUCGGGGGUGAGUCACCAGGGUCCAUGACGGUGGCCGGGUCGGGCCGGGGUAGGAGAACCACAUGAGGCCAUGAAGGGCACGACGGCUGCUAGCGAAAGUAGCAGAUUUGAAGGAGCGGCAGAUGUGGGCGGGGUCGGCGAUUGGGGAAGGCUCGCCGGCUGGGCGACAGCGAGCUCCGAUGAGUGCAACGAAUGGAAGCCAGGCGUCGGCUUACAACAAUGAUUCGGGUGCCUGUGGCAUGACGGAGAGCCGCCGCUGAAAGCUCAGUGAUGGGGCGAGUUGGUUGAGGCGUCAAUGGCACCUUUGCUCGUGACCGAGGAUGGCACUUGCGCAGCUGAAGUAAGAUGCAGGCCAACUUCAGCCUCCAAGGCUUCCCUGGCACCCUCCUCUGCCACUACGUGCUCAACAACAAGGUCUUCGAAGGAUUAGGGCUUAGGGCAACUCGAUGGUAGCCAGUCGGAGUUUGCUAGGUUACAUAUGCAAGUCCUUUUGAAAUCUCAAACUUCUUUGUGGUGAUGAGCUUCUGCUCAUCUUGAUUGAUUCCUCUACAGUGAAGGGGUGUGUCUUCUGAUGCUUUCAUUUUCUCUUUCAUACUGUGGAGUUCAUCUUUGUCUUGGAGAACAUCACCAUGUGCCUGCUAUUGUUUAUGUGGUUGUAUGGAGUGUUCCUUCAACUAAUUAGGCAACGCCCUUAAAUCUAACAAUCAAACUCCGAGAGAAUCAUUUAUACUUGAACCAGAAAGGCCAAUUCUGUGUCUCAAUUUUGUUUAGGAAUAUUAGCAAGUUGAGUAACCUUGUUCUUUCUAGAAUAGGGACAUUCCUGGUUUUUGUGUCUGUGGUUUCUACUUUUAUUAUGCUGCUUAUUUUUGUGGUUUCAUUUGAACAAGAUGUCACUCUUGUUUCCGUCGUUAUACAUAUUUUCGAAGCCAUAGCAGCAUGUUGUGCUUUGUCAGCACAUUUGUGCAUGUGUGAGGUCGCAGAUGAAGAAGCACUGAAUGCUCAUUAUAUUCUCCUCUUCUCUGAUCUUCUAUACACAUAUAUAAGAUGUGUCUUAUUUCCUUGUGUUUCCUAAGGAUCUUUCUUGAUUGAUUGUUUGACAGUGACUAUUAUGUAAAAAUGUUUUCAGUUGCUGUUUAGUACGGAUGCCUCCAUGGUUGUAUAGGCAUCCAUGGUUCUGUGAGGAGGUUAUCUAUGUCGUUCUAUUUUAUAUACUCCCUCCGUUCCUAAAUAUUUGUCACGAAUUGCACAUGGUCAUGUUAGUUGUUUGUUUCUUUUGAUCAUAUUGAUGUUGAGUUGUGGGUUUACACAUUUUACCUUGAAAUGUUUAUAUGUGUGUCCAGUUGUUUUUGGAUGGUCUACGAUUUUGUUUGUGUUUAGUUUACAUUUCUCUCCUGAAGAUCUUGCUACCCAGUUGUAUUGCUAUAUUUCCUAUAAUAGGAAGUUAAUUAUAUUUUUACUGUUUUGGCAGCCCUAACAGAUAGACCGAGGUCUCUACUGGCUCGGAAGACUGGACUUGAGGCACAUGUAAAAUUAAUGUCUCUUGCUACUCUCGUGAUCUAUAUCCAGAGUGCAAGUCAGGUCUUGGAAUGCCCAGAAAAUAAGUGAAGUGUGCAGACAGGCAGCAUGGAAACACUAAAGAGAGGCUUCAGACAAACUAAUAGCUGGAGUGAUUUCCUACAUGUAGUGACCGACUUGGAAGAAAUAAGUUUCAGCUAUUUCUAAAGAUAUUAUAUCAUAAGACUAUUCUUAGGUUAAGGUGUUUGGCUUGGACUAAUGUGUACAUGGCUGUAGUGGUUCCAGAUUUGUUACAAGCUCCUUGUGCUGAGGAUCGUCAAAAUGGUGAAGUUUCUAUUAUUUUCGGAACUAUUGAUUCACAUGCUGAAGUGUAAUUUACCACAUCCCUAAGACAGAACAUAUACAUUUUGCCGUACAGUCACUAAUCCUAUGUUAUCAAGUUUUAUCUUAGUAGCGUAUAACCA